CCUACGGGAGGCAGCAGUAGGGAAUCUUCCACAAUGGGCGAAAGCCUGAUGGAGCAACGCCGCGUGGGUGAAGAAGGUCUUCGGAUCGUAAAACCCUGUUGUUAGAGAAGAAAGUGCGUGAGAGUAACUGUUCACGUUUCGACGGUAUCUAACCAGAAAGCCACGGCUAACUACGUGCCCGCAGCCGCGGUAAUACGGAGGUGGCAAGCGUUAUCCGGAUGUAUUGGGCGUAAAGGGAACGCAGUCGGUCUUUUAAGUCUGAUGUGAAAGCCUUCGGCUUAACCGGAGUAGUGCAUUGGAAACUGGGAGACUUGAGUGCAGAAGAGGAGAGUGGAACUCCAUGUGUAGCGGUGAAAUGCGUAGAUAUAUGGAAGAACACCAGUGGCGAAAGCGGCUCUCUGGUCUGUAACUGACGCUGAGGUUCGAAAGCGUGGGUAGCAAACAGGAUUAGAUACCCCUGUAGUC
rnacentral:rRNA from 1 species